CCUACGGGGGGCUGCAGUAAGGAAUAUUGGUCAAUGGGCGCAAGCCUGAACCAGCCAUGCCGCGUGCAGGAUGACGGCCCUAUGGGUUGUAAACUGCUUUUAUACGGGAAAAAACCCUCGAUCGUGAAUCGGGGCUGAUGGUACCGUAAGAAUAAGGAUCGGCUAACUCCGUGCCAGCAGCCGCGGUAAUACGGAGGAUCCAAGCGUUAUCCGGAUUUAUUGGGUUUAAAGGGUGCGCAGGCGGAAUAAUAAGUCAGUGGUGAAAUCCUGCAGCUUAACUGCAGAACUGCCAUUGAUACUGUUAUUCUUGAGUAUAUUUGAAGUGGGCGGAAUGUGUCAUGUAGCGGUGAAAUGCUUAGAUAUGACACAGAACACCAAUUGCGAAGGCAGCUCACUAAACUAUAACUGACGCUCAUGCACGAAAGCGUGGGGAUCAAACAGGAUUAGAUACCCCGGUAGUC
rnacentral:rRNA from 1 species